AGUGAACGCUGGCGGUAGGCCUAACACAUGCAAGUCGAACGGCAGCACAGUAAGAGCUUGCUCUUACGGGUGGCGAGUGGCGGACGGGUGAGGAAUACAUCGGAAUCUACUUUUUCGUGGGGGAUAACGUAGGGAAACUUACGCUAAUACCGCAUACGACCUACGGGUGAAAGCAGGGGAUCUUCGGACCUUGCGCGAUUGAAUGAGCCGAUGUCGGAUUAGCUAGUUGGCGGGGUAAAGGCCCACCAAGGCGACGAUCCGUAGCUGGUCUGAGAGGAUGAUCAGCCACACUGGAACUGAGACACGGUCCAGACUCCUACGGGAGGCAGCAGUGGGGAAUAUUGGACAAUGGGCGCAAGCCUGAUCCAGCCAUACCGCGUGGGUGAAGAAGGCCUUCGGGUUGUAAAGCCCUUUUGUUGGGAAAGAAAAGCAGCAGGUUAAUACCCCACUGUUCUGACGGUACCCAAAGAAUAAGCGCCGGCUAACUUCGUG
rnacentral:rRNA from 1 species